rnacentral:sRNA from 1 species
CACGUAGGUCCGCAGGACUAAGGACACCACGACCUGUGGAAACGUCUGCAUGACCCCCAUCCUGGGGG